ensembl:lncRNA
AAAAAAAAAUCAAAAUAAAAAAACACAGUUAAAGGGAAAAUGUGGAAACAAAAAAAAAAGGAAUACAAAGCAAAAAGAAAUGGAUGACAACAAAAUACAGCAAACAGGAAUGGAGGAAUCUGUCCAGAGCUGUGCCCCUGCUUGCCACAGGAGCUGCGCGGGAGGAGAAGAACGUGGGCCAAAAGGUAAGAGGAGCUCCUUUGGGUUCUGGGCUUGAAGCAAAGCUGAGAAGCCAUGCCCGGGAGGAGGUGUGGGUAGCUACAGGCCACCUUGCUAUCUCCCCAAGAGAUGAGGUGUGUGGGCUAGGCACCGGGCAGGAGUGCUGGCCAGAAGCAAGCAUCUCUGUGGAGGAAGGCAAAGGGCGGAGGAGGUUCAAGGGUAGCUACCGGGCAUGGCCUUGCUCAGCAAGGGGAGGAAAAGCCUGAAGGGCACGAGAAGGGGAUAGAGAAGGGCAGGCAGUAGGCGUGAAGCUGCGAGCAGAGUAGAGAGCAACUUGGCAGAGCAGCAAGCAGAGUAGGCAAGUGUUGAGGUUUGGCGUGAGUAGCAGCAAAAGCCCAGAGCAUCAAGAAGCAGGAAGUGAGGAGAAGGUAAGUGAAGGGCAGGCAAGGUAAUGGGAGGCAAAGGCAAGGG